AUUGAACGCUGGCGGCAGGCCUAACACAUGCACGUCGAGCGAGCGGCGGACGGGUGAGUAAUAUCUGGGAAACUGCCCGAUAGAGGUGGAUAACUACUGGAAACGGUAGCUAAUACCGCAUACUAUCAGAUGUGCACAUAUGGUAUUAGCUAGUAGGUCAGGUAACGGCGCACCUAGGCGACGAACCCUAGCUGGUCUGAGAGGAUGACCAGCCACACUGGAACUGAGACACGGUCCAGACUCCUACGGUAGGCAGCAGUGGGGAAUAUUGCACAAUGGGCGCAAGCCUGAUGCAGCAAUGCCGCGUGUGUGAAGAAGGCAGUAGGGUUGUAAAGCACUUUCAGCGGGGAGGCGUUACCGGCAGAAGAAGCACCGGCUAACUCCGUGCCAGCAGCCGCGGUAAUUC
rnacentral:rRNA from 1 species